GACGAACGCUGGCGGCGUGCUUAACACAUGCAAGUCGAACGGAAAGGCCCUGCUUUUGUGGGAUGCUCGAGUGGCGAACGGGUGAGUAACACGUGAGUAACCUGCCCUUGACUUUGGGAUAACUUCAGGAAACUGGGGCUAAUACCGGAUAGGAGCUCCUGCUGCAUGGUGGGGGUUGGAAAGUUUCGGCGGUUGGGGAUGGACUCGCGGCUUAUCAGCUUGUUGGUGGGGUAGUGGCUUACCAAGGCUUUGACGGGUAGCCGGCCUGAGAGGGUGACCGGCCACAUUGGGACUGAGAUACGGCCCAGACUCCUACGGGAGGCAGCAGUGGGGAAUAUUGCACAAUGGGCGGAAGCCUUAUGCAGCAACGCCGCGUGCGGGAUGACGGCCUUCGGGUUGUAAACCGCUUUCGCCUGUGACGAAGCGUGAGUGACGGUAAUGGGUAAAGAAGCACCGGCUAACUACGUG
rnacentral:rRNA from 1 species